rnacentral:lncRNA from 1 species
GGGCAAGUUCUCACAGUGAGAUCACUGACUCACCGGGAACAGAGACCCUGUCUUCCUCCAGGGGCCCCUGGUGAUCCCCAGGAGCAUGAAAGUGGUCCCCUGCUUCUUACCUAAGCUCUCUAAGGACAGAAGAUCCCCAGCACUGGGAAGUCUUCCUUUUGCCCUUGGCAAAUGGCUGACAGUCGCUGGAGAUCUGCUCAGGCAUUAUCUGGAACUCUCUGAGCAGGGAAAGUUGAGUAAAUCCACAUAACCCUGAGGAGUGAAGUUAGGAUCCACUGCUCAGAAGCACAGAAUCACAGAAUCACAGAUUGUCAGAGAUGCGUCAGCUCAGAGAACAUCUAAGUGUCACAUCUUCAUGCUAAAUACAAGAAAACUGAGGUCUGGAGAAACUGAGUUUUUUGCCUAAAAUGACAAAGCAAAUCAGUGGCAGAGCUGAAACCCAAAGCCAAGAUUACUAACUCCUAGUCCAGUUUGCUUCCCAAGAAAUCUUGGAUCUGCAGGCAUCUCUGGGCAUCAUCUGGACCACUCUGUGACCUCAAAUUGGGCUAAGGGUUUUCUAUUCUCUGAUUAGAUAACUUCAAAGACUAGGAUAUAAAACAUUUCCUUGAUGGGCAGUUUGUUUUAAAUAGCUUUCUUUAUUGGAAUAUAAAUGACCUAUGGAAACUGAACAUCUUUAAUUGCACUAUUUGAAGACAUUUGGAAUAUUCAAUUCUUUAUACAUUGAAACCCGUCAAUCUUUUCCUCAGUGAUUUGUUCUCCCACUGUGAGUUCAGAAAGUCUUUCUCUACUGGAGUUAAUUAAAGAUGUAUUUCAUCUUCAAAAAAAAUAAAUUGUACUAUUUGAUAAGCCUUGACAUAUGUAUAUACCGUGAAACUAUCACAACAAUGAAGAUAAUGACAUAUCCAUCAGCCCCAAAAGUUUCUUUGUUCCCUUUUUUAAUGAUGCUCUCUAUCCUACCUAUCACCAC